GACGAACGCUGGCGGCGUGCUUAACACAUGCGAGUCGAACGGAAAGGCCCAGCUUUUGUGGGGUGCUCGAGUGGCGAACGGGUGAGUAACACGUGAGUAACCUGCCCUUGACUUUGGGAGAACUUCAGGAAAUUGGGGCGAAUACCGGAUAGGAGCUCCUGCUGCAUGGGGGGGGUUGGAAAGUUUCGGCGGUUGGGGAUGGACUCGCGGCUUAUCAGCUUGUUGGUGGGGUAGUGGCUUACCAAGGCUUUGACGGGUAGCCGGCCUGAGAGGGUGACCGGCCACAUUGGGACUGAGAUACGGCCCAGACUCCUACGGGGGGCAGCAGUGGGAAAUUUUGCACAAUGGGCAGAAGCCUGAUGCAGCGACGCCGCGUGCGGGAUGACGGCCUUCGGGGUGUCAACCGCUUUCGCCUGUGACGACGCCUGAGUGACGGUAAUGAGUCAAGAAGCACCGGCUAGCUCCGUG
rnacentral:rRNA from 1 species